GCUUCUGCAUUGUGCAUGAUCUUUCUGCCGGGAUCAACCCAUUUACCUGCCUGGUCUGUGCUGGGAUGGGGACUGCGAUUUCCAGAAGGCGAUCUGAGGCACGGAGAGGGAAAUUCCCGAAGGAGCCACAGUUCGGGGUGUGUCCAAGACCAGAUGUGCCCUGCUCAUGCUGGUAGAUAAAGAAGGAAGUCAGCACCCACAUCUGUGCUGGAUGCUAGCACCCACAGACAUAGGGCAAUCAUACCAUUGCCAUGACUUUCACAUCCAGAGGUUUCACUACGCAGUUCACACUGGCCUUGAACUCACAUUG